AUGAACGCUGGCGGCGUGCCUAAUCCAUGCAAGUCGAGCGAACAGACGAGGAGCUUGCUCCUCUGACGUUAGCGGCGGACGGGUGAGUAACACGUGGAUAACCUACCUAUAAGACUGGGAUAACUUCGGGAAACCGGAGCUAAUACCGGAUAAUAUAUUGAACCGCAUGGUUCAAUAGUGAAAGACGGUUUUGCUGUCACUUAUAGAUGGAUCCGCGCCGCAUUAGCUAGUUGGUAAGGUAACGGCUUACCAAGGCAACGAUGCGUAGCCGACCUGAGAGGGUGAUCGGCCACACUGGAACUGAGACACGGUCCAGACUCCUACGGGAGGCAGCAGUAGGGAAUCUUCCGCAAUGGGCGAAAGCUUGACGGAGCAACGCCGCGUGAGUGAUGAAGGUUUUCGGAUCGUAAAACUCUGUUAUUAGGGAAGAACAAAUGUGUAAGUAACUAUGCACGUCUUGACGGUACCUAAUCAGAAAGCCACGGCUAACUACGUG
rnacentral:rRNA from 1 species